CCUACGGGCGGCAGCAGUGGGGAAUAUUGGACAAUGGGGGCAACCCUGAUCCAGCCAUGCCGCGUGUGUGAAGAAGGCCCUCGGGUUGUAAAGCACUUUCAGUGAGGAAGAACGCCUGGUGGUUAAUACCCAUCAGGAAAGACAUCACUCACAGAAGAAGCACCGGCUAACUCCGUGCCAGCAGCCGCGGUAAUACGGAGGGUGCGAGCGUUAAUCGGAAUUACUGGGCGUAAAGCGCGCGUAGGUGGCUUGAUAAGCCGGUUGUGAAAGCCCCGGGCUCAACCUGGGAACGGCAUCCGGAACUGGCAAGCUAGAGUGCAGGAGAGGAAGGUAGAAUUCCCGGUGUAGAGGUGAAAUGCGUAGAGAUCGGGAGGAAUACCAGUGGCGAAGGCGGCCUUCUGGACUGACACUGACACUGAGGUGCGAAAGCGUGGGUAGCAAACAGGAUUAGAUACCCUGGUAGUC
rnacentral:rRNA from 1 species